rnacentral:rRNA from 1 species
CAUCCUACGGGGGGCAGCAGUGGGGGAUAUUGCACAAUGGGGGGAACCCUGAUGCAGCGACGCCGCGUGAGUGAAGAAGUAUUUCGGUAUGUAAAGCUCUAUCAGCAGGGAAGAAGAAAGACGGUACCUGAGUAAGAAGCCCCGGCUAACUACGUGCCAGCAGCCGCGGUAAUACGUAGGGGGCAAGCGUUAUCCGGAUUUACUGGGUGUAAAGGGAGCGUAGACGGCAGCGCAAGUCUGGAGUGAAAUCCCAUGGCUUAACCAUGGAACUGCUUUGGAAACUGUGCAGCUAGAGUGCAGGAGAG